AAAACCGUCUUGGAGCAAAGGGAUCAUUGUGAAAACCGUCUUGGAGCAAAGGGAUCAUUGUGAAAACCGUCUUGGAGCAAAGGGAUCAUUGUGAAAACCGUCUUGGAGCAAAGGGAUCAUUGUGAAAACCGUCUUGGAGCCACCCUACCCUCCCGCCUUGGAGACAGUACUGUGGGUGAUUUCCUUCAACUCCUGCUUUGGAUUCUCUUCCACAACAAGCACCUAGGAAAUGAUCAGCUGACAAGUGUCUUCAUUUCGAGAGAAGAUCAGAUGCAGCCAGCUUACCUGAGAGAGCUUUCCCUAUCUCUAUGAAUACAGCAAAUAUUCGGGAGGACCCUCAGAUUUCUCUACUGUUAGUAAGCAAGACCCACUGGCUCCUCUGAAG